GACGAACGCUGGCGGCGUGCUUAACACAUGCAAGUCGAACGGAAAGGCCCUGCUUUUGUGGGGUGCUCGAGUGGCGAACGGGUGAGUAACACGUGAGUAACCUGCCCUUGACUUUGGGAUAACUUCAGGAAACUGGGGCUAAUACCGGAUAGGAGCUCUGGCUCCUGGGUGGGGGUGGGAAGGUUCGGCGGUUGGGGAUGGACUCGCGGCUUAUCAGCUUGUUGGUGGGGUAGUGGCUUACCAAGGCUUUGACGGGUAGCCGGCCUGAGAGGGUGACCGGCCACAUUGGGACUGAGAUACGGCCCAGACUCCUACGGGAGGCAGCAGUGGGGAAUAUUGCACAAUGGGCGGAAGCCUGAUGCAGCAACGCCGCGUGCGGGAUGACGGCCUUCGGGUUGUAAACCGCUUUCGCCUGUGACGAAGCGUGAGUGACGGUAAUGGGUAAAGAAGCACCGGCUAACUACGUG
rnacentral:rRNA from 1 species